rnacentral:rRNA from 1 species
UACGUAGGGUGCAAGCGUUAAUCGGAAUUACUGGGCGUAAAGCGUGCGCAGGCGGUUUUGUAAGUCAGAUGUGAAAUCCCCGAGCUCAACCUGGGAACUGCGUUUGUAACUGGCAAGCUAGAGUGUGGCAGAGGGGGGUGGAAUUCCAAGUGUAGCAGUGAAAUGCGUAGAUAUUUGGAGGAACACCGAUGGCGAAGGCAGCCCCCUGGGCUAACACUGACGCUCAUGCACGAAAGCGUGGGGAGCAAACAGG